AUGGGACUACAUUCCUGCAGUCAGACACUAAUCGAGUCUGAUUCAGUGAUCCUCAAACCUGAUCAGUCUCAUAAACUGACCUGCACAGCUUCUGGAUUGGACAUUAGUAGUUACUGGAUGGCUUGGAUCCGACAGUCUUUUCUAAAAGACAUAGAUAUCCUCUAUGUGCAUGGCAUCAGUCUGACCCCGUCUCCUGCUGAGGUUAAACCUCUCGGAGCUUCAGUGAAGUUGUCCUGUCAGAUUUCUGGCUAUGCCCUCACUAGCUACAGCACAGGCUGGAUCAGAAAGCCUCCAGGAAAAGGCUUGGAGUGGAUCGGGAUCAUAAGGGGUGGUGGAGACAUAGCCUCUGGAGCUUCCUUUAAAACUCUCUUCAGCAUCUCCAGAGACAUGAGCAACAAUGUGCUUUACUUAGAUAUCAGCAGCCUGCUGCCAGAAGACACAGCUGUUUAUUAUUGUGCAAAGAUGCACAGCUGUACAUCUCAGUGA